GAUACCCCACUAUGCUUGGCCCUUAACAAAGAUAGUACCUACACAACACUAUCCGCCAGAGAACUACAAGCGAAAAGCUAAAAACUCCAAGGACUUGGCGGUGCUUCAUAUCAACCUAGAGGAGCCUGUCCUAUAAUCGAUACCCCACGUUCUACCUCACCCCCCCUAGUCCCCAGCCUAUAUACCGCCGUCGCCAGCCUACCUUAUGAAAGAAAUAAAGUAGACAAAACAGUUAUUAAUUAACACGUCAGGUCAAGGUGUAGCAAAUGAGGGGGCAGAGAUGGGCUACAUUUUAAAACAAAUACACGAACAGCACCCUGAAACACAUGCUUGAAGGCGGAUUUAGUAGUAAGAUAACCAAGAAAAGUUGUCUAAAAACUGCUCUGAAGCGCGCACACACCGCCCG
rnacentral:rRNA from 1 species